AUGGAGCAGCGGCGAGCGAAGGCUCUGCGGGAAUAAGCGAAAGAAGGGGGGGGUUGAAGGCGAGAGGGAGAAAGUGUAGUCGAAAGCUGGCCCUGAGGUCCUAACCGAAGCACGGCCAAUACGUGCCGCAGCCGCGGUAAUACGUAGGUGGCAAGCGUUAUCCGGAAUAUUGGGCGUAAAGCGCGCGCAGGUGGUUUCUUAAGUCUGAUGUGAAAGCCCACGGCUCAACCGUGGAGGGUCAUUGGAAACUGGGAGACUUGAGUGCAGAAGAGGAAAGUGGAAUUCCAUGUGUAGCGGUGAAAUGCGUAGAGAUAUGGAGGAACACCAGUGGCGAAGGCGACUUUCUGGUCUGUAACUGACACUGAGGCGCGAAAGCGUGGGGAGCAAACAGGAUUAGAUACCCUGGUAGUCCACGCCGUAAACGAUGAGUGCUAAGUGUUAGAGGGUUUCCGCCCUUUAGUGCUGAAGUUAACGCAUUAAGCACUCCGCCUGGGGAGUACGGCCGCAAGGCUGAAACUCAAAGGAUUGGAACGGG
rnacentral:rRNA from 1 species